rnacentral:rRNA from 1 species
GAUGAACGCUGGCGGCGUGCCUAAUACAUGCAAGUCGAGCGAACGGACGAGAAGCUUGCUUCUCUGAUGUUAGCGGCGGACGGGUGAGUAACACGUGGAUAACCUACCUAUAAGACUGGGAUAACUUCGGGAAACCGGAGCUAAUACCGGAUGAUAUUUUGAACCGCAUGGUUCAAAAGUGAAAGACGGUCUUGCUGUCACUUAUAGAUGGAUCCGCGCUGCAUUAGCUAGUUGGUAAGGUAACGGCUUACCAAGGCAACGAUGCAUAGCCGACCUGAGAGGGUGAUCGGCCACACUGGAACUGAGACACGGUCCAGGCUCCUACAGGAGGCAGCAGUAGGGAAUCUUCCGCAAUGGGCGAAAGCCUGACGGAGCAACGCCGCGUGAGUGAUGAAGGUCUUCGGAUCGUAAAACUCUGUUAUUAGGGAAGAACAUAUGUGUAAGUAACUGUGCACAUCUUGACGGUACCUAAUCAGAAAGCCACGGCUAACUACGUG